GGGUGGGUAGAGGUGCGCGCCUGGGACCUGAACAUGGACUUCCCGUGCCUCUGGCUAGGGCUGUUGCUGCCUUUGGUAGCUGCGCUGGAUUUCAACUACCACCACCAGGAAGGGAUGGAAGCGUUUUUGAAGACUGUUGCCCAAAACUACAGUUCUAUCACUCACUUACACAGUAUUGGGAAAUCUGUGAAAGAAACCUGUGGGUUCUUGUUGUGGGGCGGUUUCCAAAGGAACACAGAAUUGGGAUUCCAGAGUUCAAAUACGUGGCAAAUAUGCAUGGAGAUGAGACUGUUGGGCGGGAGCUGCUGCUCCAUCUGAUUGACUAUCUCGUAACCAGUGAUGGUAAAGACCCUGAAAUCACAAAUCUGAUCAAUAGUACCCGGAUACACAUCAUGCCUUCCAUGAACCCAGAUGGAUUCGAAGCCGUCAAAAAGCCUGACUGUUAUUACAGCAUCGGAAGGUAAAGAGGGGCUGGUCUAUCUUUACUUGAAAACAAACAACACAACACAAAGGCUCCCGACAGGCACCUGUUGGCCUUGGCAAGAGGAGAUGUG
rnacentral:sRNA from 1 species